UAACCUGCCCUUAACUCUGGGAUAAGCCUGGGAAACUGGGUCUAAUACCGGAUAUGACUCCUCAUCGCAUGGUGGGGGGUGGAAAGCUUUAUUGUGGUUUUGGAUGGACUCGCGGCCUAUCAGCUUGUUGGUGAGGUAAUGGCUCACCAAGGCGACGACGGGUAGCCGGCCUGAGAGGGUGACCGGCCACACUGGGACUGAGACACGGCCCAGACUCCUACGGGAGGCAGCAGUGGGGAAUAUUGCACAAUGGGCGAAAGCCUGAUGCAGCGACGCCGCGUGAGGGAUGACGGCCUUCGGGUUGUAAACCUCUUUCAGUAGGGAAGAAGCGAAAGUGACGGUACCUGCAGAAGAAGCGCCGGCUAACUACGUGCCAGCAGCCGCGGUAAUACGUAGGGCGCAAGCGUUAUCCGGAAUUAUUGGGCGUAAAGAGCUCGUAGGCGGUUUGUCGCGUCUGCCGUGAAAGUCCGGGGCUCAACUCCGGAUCUGCGGUGGGUACGGGCAGACUAGAGUGAUGUAGGGGAGACUGGAAUUCCUGGUGUAGCGGUGAAAUGCGCAGAUAUCAGGAGGAACACCGAUGGCGAAGGCAGGUCUCUGGGCAUUAACUGACGCUGAGGAGCGAAAGCAUGGGGAGCGAACAGGAUUAGAUACCCUGGUAGUCCAUGCCGUAAACGUUGGGCACUAGGUGUG
rnacentral:rRNA from 1 species